rnacentral:rRNA from 1 species
UGGGGAAUAUUGCACAAUGGGCGAAAGCCUGAUGCAGCAACGCCGCGUGAGGGAAGACGGUUUUCGGAUUGUAAACCUCUGUUUUCGGUGACGAACAAAUGACGGUAACCGAGUAGGAAGCCACGGCUAACUACGUGCCAGCAGCCGCGGUAAUACGUAGGGGGCAAGCGUUGUCCGGAAUUACUGGGCGUAAAGGGCGCGUAGGCGGCAUAUUAAGUUAGGUGUGAAAUUCCCGGGCUUAACCCGGGCGUUGCACUUAAAACUGAUAAGCUUGAGUGCAGGAGAGGAAAGUGGAAUUCCUAGUGUAGCGGUGAAAUGCGUAGAUAUUAGGAGGAACGUCAGUGGCGAAGGCGACUUUCUGGACUGUAACUGACGCUGAGGCGCGAAAGCGUGGGUAGCAAACAGGAUUAGAUACCCUGGUAGU